GAUUAUUUGUCGAUCAUUAUAUAUAUCCUGCAGCACCACUCUUUUUCUCCAUCUAUACACCUGUAGAUCAAAACAAUACAAGGGCUGGUACUAAAAGCUUCAUUAGUUCAUCAUAUAUACCGGUACGUUCAUAACAACUCGAAAGUAAUGGAAAACAGAAAAAGAGGAUCGAGUUGCCCUUUUAAAUACCAAACUUUCACUAUUCAGGGCCUAUUCACAACUAUGUCAUCUUAAUGGAACUACCCACGUCAAAAUUCAUCAUCAAAUUGCCGAAUCGAUUGCUUUUGAGAUCUAGAAGUGGACGAAAAAUAUCCACAUGUAGUUGAGGAUUUUUGUCAGAGAAUGCAUUAGUUUGAUUGCUUCCUUAUCGCUUCUCAUGAAUACAAUUACUCCAUCAACGAUCUUCUCUUGAAGUAAUGGUCAAGUUUGUGUUGAUACAUCUCUCCUGAUCUUGCUGCUACCUAAUUCCCUCACAUGUAACUUAAGUAGAUGGAUACUGAGAGGUGAAGAUGAUUUUGAGAAUAAAGGCUAUGUUUUUAUGACCAUAGGACCAAUGCACAAUGUAAAGAUCAGCCGGUCAACAUCCUAAGCACGCAAAACAUAAAAUCGAGACAUUUCCUAAAAGUUGGACCCUAGAAGACAUGGAGAAGGAUUGGAUCAGACAUCAAUUUUGUAGAGCUGCUAAAGAUUUAGAUACUAUUUUGUUGGGUAUUACAAUAUAAUGUAAUGACCCCCAUCGUCCAACUAAUUUCUUCUUUUAAUGUAAUGUUACAGUGUGAAGUCAUGGUCUUUAUUUCACCGGGCACUAUAACCAAGCCUGUAGAUUAUUGAUGAAUAUGCUAAGUAUUAGAAUGAUCUCUUGCUAAGCCACAAGCAUAUCGAAAGUGAUACUUUUGCUUCCAAUCCAACCUCCUUAUGUUGGUUAUGGUAGGGAUGUGCAUAUAGUGCUUUGGUACGCCCGACUAUGGACAUGACUUGAUAAUGAAAGAGGAUAUCAAUGGCAUGACUUUAACAUUAUCUCUAACUGUGGGAACGAAUAUACAAGAUAGUUAUUAAAGUGUUGAUGGUAAUACAAGACCUGAAAGUGAAAUAUGAGGUAAAUAUGAAGUUUUUAUGGCAUUUAUCCAAAUCUUUAUAAAGGACUUGGCAUCGUGUUCUGAAUUUUUCCUUCGAUCAAAUUAACUAUUUUUAUUGUGAUUUUUAUAUUACCAGAGGACAGGUUAACUUAUCAUGCUCACGAUGACAAAGGUUCAUGGUUCUUACUUGUUUUUCAUUUGGUAUUUAUUCUUUCUAAUUGGUUUUUUGUUUGUUCAUUUAAUGAUUUCACAUAGGUUGCAAGUUAUGGUGCAUGCAUACCUAUUCAAAAAAAAAAAAAUUAUACCCAAGUAUGCUCCAAGAGACCUACAAAAAGCACAAGUGUAAUUUUCUCUGAAAAUAGAUGUCCCUUUUCUCGGUUAUGAUCACCAUCAACAUGCAUCACCAUGUGAUGUGAAGUACCAGAAAGGAAGCUCCACUGGGGAAUGACGAUGACCUUUUUUUGGACAUCAUGUCAUAUCAAUUAUGAUAUAAAUUGAUGGAUAUUUUGAUUGAUUUAGUUAUUUAGUAGUUUUGUACGCCUAACUACUUUUGGAUUGGGAUUCAAUAGCUCUUGCUCUCUCGAUUUAAGUUCAACCCUCAUCCAUCUUGUUGAUUUUAUUAUGUGGUAACAUUCUCAUGCUCCCUUAUGUAUGAAUUGACUUCAUUUGUAUGAUCUUUAGACUGUAUAGAAACACAUGAAAAUAUAGGAUGGAGUUGUGAUUAUGUCA